rnacentral:rRNA from 1 species
CCUACGGGAGGCAGCAGUAGGGAAUAUUGCUCAAUGGGCGAAACUCUGAAGCAGCAACGCCGCGUGGAGGAUGAAGGUUUUCGGAUUGUAAACCUCUUUUGUUAGAGAAGAUAAUGACGGUAUCUAACGAAUAAGCACCGGAUAAUUCCGUGCCAGCAGCCGCGGUAAUACGGGGGGUGCAAGCGUUACUCGGAAUCACUGGGCGUAAAGAGCGCGUAGGCGGGAUAGCAAGUCAGAUGUGAAAUCCUAUGGCUUAACCAUAGAACUGCAUUUGAAACUGUUAUUCUAGAGUAGGGGAGAGGUAGGUGGAAUUCUUGGUGUAGGGGUAAAAUCCGUAGAGAUCAAGAGGAAUACUCAUUGCGAAGGCGACCUGCUAGAACAUAACUGACGCUGAUGCGCGAAAGCGUGGGGAGCAAACAGGAUUAGAUACCCUGGUAGUC